rnacentral:rRNA from 1 species
AGGAUGAACGCUGGCGGCGUGCCUAAUACAUGCAAGUCGAGCGAACGGACGAGAAGCUUGCUUCUCUGAUGUUAGCGGCGGACGGGUGAGUAACACGUGGAUAACCUACCUAUAAGACUGGGAUAACUUCGGGAAACCGGAGCUAAUACCGGAUAAUAUUUUGAACCGCAUGGUUCAAAAGUGAAAGACGGUCUUGCUGUCACUUAUAGAUGGAUCCGCGCUGCAUUAGCUAGUUGGUAAGGUAACGGCUUACCAAGGCAACGAUGCAUAGCCGACCUGAGAGGGUGAUCGGCCACACUGGAACUGAGACACGGUCCAGACUCCUACGGGAGGCAGCAGUAGGGAAUCUUCCGCAAUGGGCGAAAGCCUGACGGAGCAACGCCGCGUGAGUGAUGAAGGUCUUCGGAUCGUAAAACUCUGUUAUUAGGGAAGAACAUAUGUGUAAGUAACUGUGCACAUCUUGACGGUACCUAAUCAGAAAGCCACGGCUAACUACGUGCCAGCAGCCGCGGUAAUACGUAGGUGGCAAGCGUUAUCCGGAAUUAUUGGGCGUAAAGCGCGCGUAGGCGGUUUUUUAAGUCUGAUGUGAAAGCCCACGGCUCAACCGUGGAGGGUCAUUGGAAACUGGAAAACUUGAGUGCAGAAGAGGAAAGUGGAAUUCCAUGUGUAGCGGUGAAAUGCGCAGAGAUAUGGAGGAACACCAGUGGCGAAGGCGACUUUCUGGUCUGUAACUGACGCUGAUGUGCGAAAGCGUGGGGAUCAAACAGGAUUAGAUACCCUGGUAGUCCACGCCGUAAACGAUGAGUGCUAAGUGUUAGGGGGUUUCCGCCCCUUAGUGCUGCAGCUAACGCAUUAAGCACUCCGCCUGGGGAGUACGACCGCAAGGUUGAAACUCAAAGGAAUUGACGGGGACCCGCACAAGCGGUGGAGCAUGUGGUUUAAUUCGAAGCAACGCGAAGAACCUUACCAAAUCUUGACAUCCUUUGAC